GCCUCCGACCGGUCGUGUGUGGGUUUACUCGGAGACAGGGUCUCACUCUGUCACCCAGGGUGGAGUGCAGUGGUGCAAUUAUGGCUCACUGUAGUCUUGAUCUCCUGGGCUCAAGCAGUCCUCCCAACUCAGCUCCCAAGUAGCUAGAACUACAGAAAUACUAGGCUUUAGAAUUUCACCAUAUGAAUUUUGGGAGAGAGGAGCACAGUUCAGCCCAUAACUAACACACGACGGAAUGAAGUUGAUAAUAGUGAGACCUUGUUGGUACAAGACUAUGUAACAUAACCUGCGCUUCUCAACAAAGAAUUGCUUUUCUGACUUCUGCACUCAGUUCUUUCCUCCAGCUCACUUUAUUGUAAGAACCUUGGUGUCUGUAAUCGGCUCGGAACCCUUGCUGCUCUUUCACUGAAUAUCGCUGUCUGGCCUGAACAGAUGUUGAGUACAAGCUGAUCCACCUACGUUCAACCUGAGAGAGUCCACAUCCACAGACUGUUUCAUUUCCCUUUUUCAAUUUACAUAGAAGCAUAGAUUCUUGCUGGCAUAUACAAAUGCGCCAUUUAAGGCAAUCAAAAAUGGUUCCACAUCUCAUCUGAUUUCCACAAUUGUUGCUGUAACGAUGGACUACUGAGGAGAGAGACAAUUUCUCUGGCACAUCUUCCCACAUUUUAGCAACAUGUUCAUGGAGAGCCAAUAUUCAGUAAUUACAGCCCAAUUCCUCACAAUUUCACAAUUCGCUAACAAUAUGCAUUUUCACAAUGUAAAGCUGAUUUUCCUUUAACCAAAUCAAACAUGAAAAGAUAGCUGCAUGCAAUGGGCAAUCUAGAUCAUUAGAAGAUUGAUGUAAAAUUAGAGGACACUGAGACUGGAAUAGAUUGCAAACUUCAGGGAGCUCAGAAAACUUGUAAACUCUACAUUUUGAGGAAAUAUGUUGUCGAUGCUUUUGCAACUCUAUGCAGUAACUUAACAAAUAA
ensembl:lncRNA MIR663AHG MIR663A host gene